UAAAGAAUAAUCAAGGUUGGCUGGGUUCAAUCAGAUGGACAGCCUUGAAGGUCUGAAUCUUAAGCAAAUGUUGCUCUCACUCCCCACGGCGUUUGGUGUGGCAUUGUUUCUCAGGAUGUGACUUCACAAGGAAUUUGGAGUCUCUGUGGAUGUUCUGCAUUUUCAUCAUCAAAUGACUGGUUGGCUAUUUUUGUCAAACAAGAAGCCUGAAACCAUCCAGUCUGAGUGUGGAGACAGUCUGCCCGCUCUGUCAACAGGAUGAAAAGGCCUUUGAUUGACAUUCAGGCAAGGGGAGGACCUCUUUGAGUUUCACCAGUAACAGCAUACUCAGAACUCACUUAUCCAGUCCAAGGGAUGCAGGGAACUUGACUGCAGCAUGGCCAGAGGCUGAUAUGCUUUCUCCCUUAGCAUGAUACCAUGCUCAGAACUUAGGGAAAGGAAAGUGUUGAUUGGCUAGUGGAGGAUGAAGAAAGAACAAAUGAAAAAUCAUGCAACUGCCAUUUCCCAGAGGGAGCUUGGAACCCCAGAAAGAAGCCUAAUAGUGUGCUGUCUCCUUCGCCAUCUGUGUGCAGGUGAGAGCGCCACAACAGGGGGCUGCGAGCAAAUGUAAAAAUCAAAAUCUGGGAUUUUACAGGAACAAUGAUGAUUUGAUAUUUGCACAGCAACCCUCUUUUGGGAAAUGAAAAGCAAUUCCUUUGGUGUUUGCUAUCUGUUCCUUGGGGUGUUUGUGCGCGUGCGCGCCUGCACGUGCGCAUGUGCGCUUAUUUGGAGCUGCUUAUGCUCCAGUUUCUUCAAGCAUAUUUAAUAUCUUUAAAUUUUAAAUGAAAAUGUAGCUGUCAAUUUUAAACUAAUUUGGAUGGACAGCAGUAAAAUGCAAACCUCAUUUCAAAUUAGAAUUUUCAGUGAGGAUUUCUAAUGGAAAGUAAUUGCUGACAAUAGGAAAUGACAAAUUACUAAUUACUUAGUUCAAUUAGACUUUUGUGCCUUUGGUCCUAAGUGGCAAGCAUACAGCAAAUCUUGCACUUUUAUAACAAUUAAUGACACUAAAACUAUUUAAACUGCCAACAGAUGUGAGUAAGAAGACAUGAAUUGAAACUUAUUUAAUUUACAUACUAUCCCUAUUUUAUAUCAAGUAAAUGGUGUUUAAUUUUUAUGCUACAAUUAAAUAUUACUACUACAGUGCAAUUUUUAACAGAACUUUAUAGGGCAAAAUAUCACUGUUGAAAAGCUGGGCAGAGUUAAUGCUCUCUUUUCUCUUAUCACAGCAGUAUUUCUCUUCAAAACAUUCUUAGAGUAUGAAUUUUUUUAUGUGCUGUAUUCGUGGCUAUACAUUAUCAUUAAGUAAACAACAGCACUUUGCUUUUAAUUAUUUCCUCUUUCCAUAUUUUUCUAUGCUAUUCUGUCCAUAUUUAAUAUCCUAAUAGUCUAUUUAAAAUCCAUGCAGUAUCUACUUCCUUUCCUUCCCAAAAGAUUAAUUCAGGUGUGGUUUUAGGAAGGUUUCUGUUUAAAAUUUCAGUUCCAUUAACUAUCUCCGUCUUGUUAACUUCUGGCUGUAGCCCAGAGUGAAUGAAUUUCAUUUGAUAUAGUGCUAUUCCUGUUGGUAAUUUUGAUUUUACACAUAUGGAAUUUUUGUAAUGUUUCUAAUUAUAAUCACAAAGACCUUUUUUUUUCUCAGUAGGUCAGCAGCUCAGUAGUCUACUGCAGAUGCAUUCAGAAUGAAAAAAGAAAGGCAAAAAAUCCAAUUAUGUUGUUAAUGAUCAAUUUUGCUAGUAAGACUUUGAAUAUAUUUAUUUUAAAAAAAUGUGUUUAAAAAGCAUUUACCUGUAAAAUGAAAAAAUAAUGAUGUUUAUCAGUGCAAAAGCAAAUUUACCUAGCAUCUUGUGCCUGCACAAUAAGGAGAAUACUUUUAGGCAACUAAAUAAGCUGUGAAAACAAACGUUAGAGGGUAUCAUAGAAAAACAAAACACUGUUACCAUUAAAGACUUAAAAAUUAUUGCAUAUCUCAGCAUAGUAGUGGUUUAGUAUGGAAACCCAAACUUCCCAUCAUACGCCAAAAUCUCCUCAGGGAAUUGUUUAGCCCAUGUAAUUCUCCACAUGGCAGUAAAGUUCACGCAGCAGAAUUUGAUCACCCUCUUAGUGUUUGGGGUAAAACUGCAAACAUACCAUUCACAAUUAAAUGUAUUUUUCCUGUACUUAGCACACACAGAUUAAAAUGGCAUCAUUUUGUCCCUUAUUACUAUUGGGAAAUAUAAUUGGAUGAACAGAAGCUUUUUGGUUUGAUUCCACUAUAAACAAGGGGAAAAUGUAAAUAUAUCUGUUUUAUCACUUGGAGUCAGGAAUGGGGACAAAUUUGGAACCAAAAGAUUUGACAGUAAACAGAUUACAAGUGCUUUCUCAAGGAUUUUUUUUUUUUUGACUUACGCAAUUAAACUAUUUAGAAGCAGUAUGAUAAAUGAGAUCCAAAUAUCCAAGGGUAGUUUUUGGGCAAACCUCUGUUGUUUCACCACAGCUGUAGUUUUCUUUUCUCAUGAGCCCUGUGAACUUUAAGGGCUAGAAAUAUAACAGAGAGCGUACUAGAUAAUAGAAGGAAAAGGAAAAGCUUAGGCAGGGGGUAGGAGGCCUGGGCAGGGACAGACGAAAGAAAGACUUUCACAAAUCACAAGAAAAAUGGCACUGGCAUUGUGCCUAAAAAAAGAUAAUGUGGAAAAGAGGCAAGAGAAAGAUAGACUUAGCAAGUAUAUUUAGAGCAAGAAUGAUAGGAUGAAGAAGUGGCCUAAUUAGGAGAGUGGGAUAAGGAGAGAGGGGGAGAUGGAAUAGGAGCAAGGGUAAAAGAAAUGUCAGGAAAAAGAGAGAGACAAACCAGAAACAAAUGUGAGAGAAUUAACAAAACCUCUGAAGCACAGGAGACAUCCUUCCUGGUGUCACAUACAGCUUGAGAUUAGAACGCUCCAGUUGAUGCAAGCAGUGUAGGAAUGAAUGAUUCCUUUCCCAGUUUCUGUCAUUAUUAUUGAGUCUCAGACACCAUAAAAUGUCACUUUGGUGAAUUAAGCUCCUUCAUGGUAGUUAUCUAUAGAAUUGAAAGGUAUUUACUACCUCAGUUAUGACAGAUCACCAUAUUUACUUCUACAAAAUUUGUGUUAUGAACCUGGGUUACACAUGCCCUGUGUCCAGUGAAAGUUUUAGGGAAAUUUUCAAGCUCUAAAAAUUUGGAUCACUUUCUUUUUGAAAUAUGUGAGCAU